rnacentral:rRNA from 1 species
GAUGAACGCUGGCGGCGUGCUUAACACAUGCAAGGCGAACGGAAAGGAACAAGCUUGGGUGGGGAAGGGAGUGGAGAACGGGUGAGUAAAAAGUGGGUGACAGGUGUGGCAUUUCGGGAUAAGCUUGGGAAAAUGGGUGUAAGACUGGAUAGGACGAUGGUUUGGAUGUCAUUGUGGAAAGUUUUUUCGGUGUGGGAUGAGCUCGCGGCCUAUCAGCUUGUUGGUGGGGUAAUGGCAUACCAAGGCGUCGACGGGUAGCCGGCCAGAGGGGGUGUACGGCCACAGUGGGACGAAGAGACGGACCAGAGUCCUACGGGAGGCAGCAGUGGGGAAUAUUGCACAAUGGGGGCAAGCCUGAGGCAGCGACGCCGCGUGGUACAUGACGGCCUUCGAAGUUUACACUCCUGUCGCUAAGGACAAAGCGUGUUUGUGACUGUACCUGGAGAAGAAGCACCAGCUAACUACGUG